GACGAACGCUGGCGGCGUGCCUAACACAUGCAAGUGGAGCGACUAACCAGGGCUUGCCCUGGGGCGAAGCCGCGAACGGGUGAGUAACACGUGGGUAACCUGCCCCGAUGACUGGGACAACCCGAGGAAACUCGGGCUAAUACCGGAUGAGUUCACCGGCCAUGAGGCCGAUGAGGAAAGGUAGCUUCGGCUUCCGCGUCGGGAUGGGCCCGCGGCCCAUUAGCUUGUUGGUGAGGUAAUGGCUUACCAAGGCAACGAUGGGUAGCUGGUCUGAGAGGACGAUCAGCCACACUGGGACUGAGACACGGCCCAGACUCCUACGGGAGGCAGCAGUGGGGAAUCUUGCGCAAUGCGCGAAAGCGUGACGCAGCAACGCCGCGUGAGGGAAGACGGCCUUCGGGUUGUAAACCUCUUUCAGUUGGGACGAAGCCUCGGCGGUGAAUAGCCGUCCGACGUGACUGUACCUUCAGAAGAAGCUCCGGCUAACUACGUGCCAGCCGCCGCCGUAAGAC
rnacentral:rRNA from 1 species